GGCUGCCGGAGCUGACUCCAUGUUUUUUCCCAAUGUAGAGAUCGCUGGAGAUGGCGAGCUCCGAGACUCCCUCUAUCUUCUGUUUUCAGAGCAACUCUAUGCCCAGGGACAAAAUUAAGAUCAGCGAGAUGAUUCCGUGCCUACUUCUGAGACUCUCUCGGGAACAGAACUCGUCCCCAUCUGCAGGCGGCGUGAGAAGAGACAAAUGCGAUCAUCCACGGUGGGGAAUCUCAGGUAGCUCCCUGCCAGCCCACCCCAGGACUGAGGAGAAAAUAAAAAGGAAUUCGACCUGGGCCGACACCCCAAGGAAGGGGGGACGUGGCACUUCUUACUUCGGGAUGGGACGUCCAGUGGGUUUCCAGACUUAGUUUGAUACAUCUGUGUCUAAAACAGAUUUUGGGUCUAGAAUCGCCAUGGACAGCCAAUUUCUGGUGUGGUUGAAAGAGGUGGCUUUCAGCCGCUUUGCUGUUUCCUCUGAGAAGGAUCCAGAAACCACUUGGCAGGGCAGUUUCUACUGAAGAAAACUUUGGCCUGUUUGGUUGACGACUAUCUAAGCUGGUUGAAAUAUGCCACACUGCAUCUAGUUUCUGUGUGGCUGCUAAUUGUCAAUAUCCACUGGUCAUUUUGCUAUUAAAUGUACAGUCUCAUCCAUAAAAGAUAUACUGAAGAGGCAUUAAUAAUGUCUGGAUGAUAGAAUUCAGAUAAUUAACAGCUCCUAAUAAGUCACAUCAUUGUAGACAUCAUUCUGCACCUCCCUUCCAUUGAAACAUACCCAUCACACAGUAGGUGUUUAAUGAAAUCCAAGGAAAGUAGAGAAUUGCAUCAGUAUUACCUUGACCCCAAACUCCAAUAUGAAGGGACAAUACAAAUUGAAUGAGUGGAAACCAUUCAGGUGGUAGUAGCCUGACUUCUCUGCCUCAAUACUCAAUUCACCAGUUCUUUUUGCCUGCCCAGACACUGAUGAAAUCAGUACAUUUUUAACACACACCCCCACCUUCCUUUCAGAAAGCUCACAAAUUUUGACGAUAAAAAAUAUUAUUAUAUACCAGAAGGUGGCAUAAAUAUGUGUAUUUAGGGGGUUGGGAUGAGAGAAAGAAGUAGGGAACAUUUUGCUUUUUCUACCUUCCUGGUUUGGAAAAAGGCUUUUUAAAAAUAAGGUGGGAGGGGGGACCUAGUUAGAUAAUUGCUUAAGAGGAACCUCUAUAUGCCAAACUUCACACAUGGUUUGUGUUACUGUUACUGAUCUUGGUCUGAUUUCAGAUACACAAUGCUAUUUGCCAUGGUCUGUGUGUUAAAUCAGCAAAACCUGUGGUCCACUCUUCGGAGUGAUGUAAAUGAGAUGUGAACGGUUCUGAUACCUUAAUCCAGUCUCUGCAAGGAUCCCUGGCUUUAGCCUGUCUGUUGGCGCCUACAAACAAAGCCACGAUUGUCUCCUCCAUCCCAAAUCAGAUGUGUGGGUUUCCCCAUACAUCAAAGCACAGAUUUCCAGAACAGCCUUCACACCAUUUACAAUUGGUUAGCCUGUUAAUAAUGUUCUUGAUACAAUUGACCUAUCUUGUCACUCUUGACUUUUCUAAGUAAACAAAUAUAUCAAAAUGCACAGUUUAAUAAAUAAGCGAGUGCCUCUGGGGAAGUGAAUAUCUCAAAAUA